CCUACGGGAGGCAGCAGUGGGGAAUAUUGCACAAUGGGCGAAAGCCUGGUGCAGCGACGCCGCGUGAGGGAUGACGGCCUUCGGGUUGUAAACCUCUUUCAGCAGGGAAGAAGCGAAAGUGACGGUACCUGCAGAAGAAGCGCCGGCUAACUACGUGCCAGCAGCCGCGGUAAUACGUAGGGCGCAAGCGUUGUCCGGAAUUAUUGGGCGUAAAGAGCUCGUAGGCGGCUUGUUGCGUCGGUUGUGAAAGCCCGGGGCUUAACCCCGGGUCUGCAGUCGAUACGGGCAGGCUAGAGUGUGGUAGGGGAGAUCGGAAUUCCUGGUGUAGCGGUGAAAUGCGCAGAUAUCAGGAGGAACACCGGUGGCGAAGGCGGAUCUCUGGGCCAUUACUGACGCUGAGGAGCGAAAGCGUGGGGAGCGAACAGGAUUAGAUACCCUGGUAGUCCACGCCGUAAACGUUGGGAACUAGGUGUUGGCGACAUUCCACGUCGUCGGUGCCGCAGCUAACGCAUUAAGUUCCCCGCCUGGGGAGUACGGCCGCAAGGCUAAAACUUAAAGGAAAUUGACGG
rnacentral:rRNA from 1 species